AGGCAAUCUCCUUGCAAUGGUAGUGGGGGUGUUAAUAUGCUCGGAAAGUAAUGCCUUUUGCUCUUCAGACUUGCCAAGAUGGUUUACUCAUAUCUGUCCGUGAAGCUGGUCCAGUAUGCAUAAGAACAUU